rnacentral:lncRNA from 1 species
AUGUGGCUGGGCCUGGAGAAGGAGUCCAGCGCCACCUCCUAUCCAGCCCCCGGCCGCCCUUCCCCUGCAGGCCCCACAGAGAGGCCACAGGGCAGGAGCAAGGCCAGGUCUGUGAGGAGGGGCAGCAUGUGUGGAGGGGUGCAAGCUUACUUUCCUGUUCUAGAGAGUGAGGGCUCAUGGCACCUCGGCUCAUGGGCCUGGGGGUGGGGCAGAGGCCUCUGCUCUCUGGAGGGACCUGCCCGUGUCAGCCCGUCCUCCCCAGGGCCUGGCUGGGGGCUGGGAACCAGGGCCUUAGUGCUCCUGGCCCCUCAGCAGUGCCCCCAAGAAAGCCUUGCAGGGCACAACCCCCAUAACCACACACGGCUCACACACAUGUGCACGGUGUGGCUGUGGUCCACACACCCCGAGGACCAGCCUGCCUGGGGGUCAGUCCUUCUCUUUCCUUUUAACCUUUGCCUGUGCAAUACCAAGGAGCCCCCAUGGUGGUCUGGGGAGGACGCAGCGCCCCCCCCCCCCCCCCCCCCCCUCCCCACUUCUCCACCCCUGCUGGUUGAGGCAGGAAGCCCUGCAGCAAGCAAGCAGUGGGUCCUGCCUUCCAGCUUGGGCCUCCUGGACAAGAGACCAUGCCCCAGGCAGCUCAGCGGAGAGAGAGGACGGGCUGGGGCGGAUGGAGACUUGGGGCUGCCACUCGGUCAGGUCACUUGGGGUUACAGCCCACAGGCACAUACCAGGUGGGCUGCUGGGGGUCCUGGGCAGCUGCUGCCUCUCCUUCUCGCAGGUAGGUCCUUGAAGGGCAAGGGGACAGGUGAGUAUCUUCUCCAAUCACUUGGAGCCCCACCCACCGUGCUAGGGUCAGAGGGCAGCUGGUGUUUGGCCCUGGCAGCCCUAGAAGCUGGCCACGUGAGGGGCCUCCACUCAGCCAUCCUGGGGAACGGGCCAUGUCCUGGUUCUUCCUCCUGGGGCCCCACCUACCCAAGAGCUGGCGGAGUGAGGGUCAGGGCGGACGAGGCAGGAACUGGCUGCUCUCCUGCUCAGGGCUGGAAUGUGAGAUGA